GGCUGCACCUGGCUAGCGAGUCAGCCUCUGACCGACCCGGGCGCGGGAAGGGGCUGCGACUCCGCGCCAUCGGGACCGAGGCCCGGCGCGAGGCCCCUCCCGCCCCUCCCGCAGCCAGCCGCCCGUUUGAAGUCGCGAGCCGGGCAGGAAUGCAGCCGGGUUAUCAAUCACCCAGCUGGAUCCCAAAGGUCUCAGCCUAAUCACAUUUAAUUGCUCGUGGAGGCCCAUUCUCGCCCCCGGCUCGCCGCCGCGCUCAAUUACUCCCCAAAUACCUGCCAUCAAUAAGUGUGCACUGACACCGGACCCAGCCUGCUCCUCUGGUCCAAGAGAUCCCAGGCGACCAGGGAAUCGGGUUUACGUUGGGCGUUAGUUGUGCCCGAAGUGGUCAAGACAAGCAACUGGGGUGAAAGCUUGCCACCCAUCCUAGCCACUGCGGCUGGAGGAAAACGUAAGACAAUAGUGCCUCCCAGAGGCCGGAGAUUGGCCUCCACCUUCCUCAUGGUGGUGCGCCGGCCAGGCACUUCCCCAGCACUCCGGUGCCUGUCUGCGCCCGGCAGCUUCGUGAAGCAAGAACGCUUGGACUCGUUUUCCACGCGCGUCCCAGGGAGUCGAAGCACGAUCUGAGCAGGGGAGAGCUGGGCCCAGACUCAAACCCUGGGUCCCCUAAGUAACGUUUUAGGACACGUUAGCUGCCGUCCAUUCCUCUCCAGCCUCUCUUCUGUUAACUCACAGAAAUCAUGGUCUCCUCUCUCCCCCUCCCUACUCCCUCUCCCUCCAGAAAAGUACACUUCCGACUAGGAAUUGCACAGAGAGGCGACACAGCGCUGCCCAAACACACAGCAGGUGAGCUUCGAGCCCAGAAAUCCAGUCAGCUCAAGUCCAGCCCAGCCCAGCUACUCGCAUGCCAUCAUCCUCCUGCUGAGAAUCUUCCUUUUAAAAAUCUGGGCAUCCUGUCUCUUUUUCAUGUGGCUCACCAUUCACAGGGAGGUGAUAAUUACGUAUCUACACAAGGCAAAGGCGGUCUAUCAAACGGGAGCCUUGACGUUCUUUAUUCCACCCCUUCUCCCUUUUGUUUGAAGUUGGUUCGUAGCUAAGCAGCUGAGGGUAGCCUUGAACUCCUGAUCCUCCUGCCUCAGAGGGUUGGGAUUAUAGCUGUGCACUGCAACAGUUUCCAGCUUCAAUAUGCUUAUCUUAAUUCCUUACGUGCAUAUAUAUGUACAAAAUAAGUUUUGUUGUCUAAUGCCUUAUAUUCCAUGUGAAAUACUAUCUUUAUCAUAUAGAAUAUAAAAAUGGAUUUCAGAGUU